GUCCACGGCCAUGCUACCCUGAACAAGCUCGAUCCCAUCUGAUCUCAGAAGCUAAGCAGGGUCGGGUCUGGUUAAUACUUGGAUGGGAGACCACCCAAGAAGACCAGGUGCUUUAGGCG
rnacentral:rRNA from 1 species